rnacentral:rRNA from 1 species
UACGUAGGGUGCAAGCGUUGUCCGGAAUUAUUGGGCGUAAAGAGCUCGUAGGCGGCUUGUUGCGUCGACUGUGAAAACCUGCGGCUCAACCGUGUGGUCUGCAGUCGAUACGGGCAGGCUGGAGUUCGGUAGGGGAGACUGGAAUCCCUGGUGUAGCGGUGAAAUGCGCAGAUAUCAGGAGGAACACCGGUGGCGAAGGCGGGUCUCUGGGCCGAUACUGACGCUGAGGAGCGAAAGCGUGGGGAGCGAACAGG